rnacentral:rRNA from 1 species
GCCCUUCGGGGUGGAUCAGUGGCGAACGGGUGAGUAACACGUGGGCAAUCUGCCCUGCACUCUGGGACAAGCCCUGGAAACGGGGUCUAAUACCGGAUAUUACCUUCCUCUGCAUGGGGGUUGGUGGAAAGCUCCGGCGGUGCAGGAUGAGCCCGCGGCCUAUCAGCUUGUUGGUGGGGUAAUGGCCUACCAAGGCGACGACGGGUAGCCGGCCUGAGAGGGCGACCGGCCACACUGGGACUGAGACACGGCCCAGACUCCUACGGGAGGCAGCAGUGGGGAAUAUUGCACAAUGGGCGAAAGCCUGAUGCAGCGACGCCGCGUGAGGGAUGACGGCCUUCGGGUUGUAAACCUCUUUCAGCAGGGAAGAAGCGAAAGUGACGGUACCUGCAGAAGAAGCACCGGCUAACUACGUGCCAGCAGCCGCGGUAAUACGUAGGGUGCGAGCGUUGUCCGGAAUUAUUGGGCGUAAAGAGCUCGUAGGCGGCUUGUCGCGUCGGUUGUGAAAGCCCGGGGCUUAACCCCGGGUCUGCAGUCGAUACGGGCAGGCUAGAGUUCGGUAGGGGAGAUCGGAAUUCCUGGUGUAGCGGUGAAAUGCGCAGAUAUCAGGAGGAACACCGGUGGCGAAGGCGGAUCUCUGGGCCGAUACUGACGCUGAGGAGCGAAAGCGUGGGGAGCGAACAGGAUUAGAUACCCUGGUAGUCCACGCCGUAAACGUUGGGAACUAGGU